rnacentral:lncRNA from 1 species
CCUAUGUUGGCAAUUAUUAGAGUUUUGGUGCAAUGACUUUUAGGUUCUAGGAAAUGGUUUAUUCCGUAUUAUGGUUAUUCUAUAUUUUGUUUAAAACCAUGGAUUAUUGGUUUUUCGUUAUGAAUAAUGGUUUAGGUUCCUAUUUUUGACUAAGUGUUGAACUGUUUAUUCAGUUAGUUGGUUUUUCUACUGGAGGGUUAGUGUGUAUAUCACUCACGACAGGUAAAAUGAAAUUAAUUUUUAGAAUCACAAGUAGUGACACAUUCAAUAAUAAUACACCUGACUUGCUCAAAAGCUACCUU